GAGCAGCUGAAGGGGAAAAAUGGGUCUAUUACUUUUGGCAGAACUAGGUAAUUUAUAUACUACUAUAUUUCUCUUUCCCAUAACCUUCAUUUGGGCAUCACAGGACAAAAAUUUUCAAACCAAGGUACCUCAAAUAGGCUAAUUUACAGAAUGUAUCCAAAAUCUGGGAACCAUCACUCCCAUGAAAUUGACAAAUUGUAUAAAACCUUUUAUGACAAAAUGGUCAUAAAACAGUUUAUGACAUAAUACAAAAUGUCAUAAAACAUUUCCUGUGCUGAGGUUUGUGCUAUCCAGUUCAACAUGGGCUAUUUUCAAAGCAGAUCCACCUCUGAACGUACUUUUCCACUUCUCCAGGGAAGGCAGCACAUUAGAAGUCCUGUCAUUGUCAAAGGCAUUGAGAAAUCUGGUCCCUGUGAUUUACGAAGUUCCUUUACCGUUUCUAAGAACUCUUUACCACCAGCUUUUUCCAAUGCUUUGCCUGACCAAAAGGAAAAGAAAGGAAGGUAUGUUUCUAUUGCAGUUCUUAACAGGUCUUUAUGUAUAUAUGCAGAGGUGCAGAUUCAAACUGAAUGGUCAGUCAUUACUUUGGAAUGGAUUCUCUCAUUAGUU